CUGCCUUCUGAGUUAAAUAAUUUACCCCCUAAGUUGAGUUACCUAAAAGAGACUCAAGACUUCCCAGCCACAGUCUGAACGAUGGCAUAAGAGAGGUUGCUUCAGCCAAGGCUCGACUUGGGGAGUUAAAGAGAUUUUCCUCUGCGCUUCUAAACAGAUCUGUACAGAAGGAGAAGCAACGCAAAAACAUCGCCUCACAGAGGGAUCUCACAGCUGAGCCAGCUGGCUCUGCUCAGCCUGAGUUCGUCUGUGACUCUUCUCCCAGCAGGUGCAGAGUCUCUGAUGCUUACUAGUAUCAGGGGCUGACUGGGCCAGUGAACAUUUCCUCAGUGCUCUCUCUGUCCCCACAACCAUUCUAAGACCUUUAUUCAUAUUGCCUUAUCAUAAUCCUCACAACUGUGAAAUAGAUGCUAUUAUAACAUUAUCCCCAGUUUACCCCAGAGGAAGUGAAAAUUUUUUAAUUUGAUUUUUAAAUUUAUACUCAACACAAAAUAAUUGUGCAUAUCUAUGAGAUGUGAUGUUUCAAUGCAUGUAUACAUAGCAUAAAUGAUCAAAUCAGGGCAACUACCAUAUCCACCACUUUAAACACUUAUCAUUUUUUUUUGGUGACAACAUUCAAAAUCAUCUCUUUUAGCUGUCUUAAAAUGCACAACACGUUAUUUGCUAUAGUCACCCUACUGUGUAUAUCCUCCUAUUUAACUGUAACUUGGUACCAGUUGACCAACCUUUCCCAGUCCUCCUCAACCACAAUUCUUGUCUCCUCCACGCUCCUCAGUCUCUAGUAAUCACCAUUCCACUCCCCGCUAAUAUGAAAUCAACUUUU